rnacentral:rRNA from 1 species
GCUGGCAGCUAGCUCUCUGCAACUCUCACAUGGUCACCCACUGGAGCUAAGUAGGGCUGCGCCCAGUCAGUACCUGGAAGUGAGACCACAUGGGAAAGCUAGGUUGCUGUUGGAU